rnacentral:rRNA from 1 species
GAUGAACGCUGGCGGCGUGCCUAAUACAUGCAAGUCGAGCGAACAGAUGAGGAGCUUGCUCCUCUGAUGUUAGCGGCGGACGGGUGAGUAACACGUGGAUAACCUACCUAUAAGACUGGGAUAACUUCGGGAAACCGGAGCUAAUACCGGAUAAUAUUUUGAACCGCAUGGUUCAAAAGUGAAAGACGGUCUUGCUGUCACUUAUAGAUGGAUCCGCGCCGCAUUAGCUAGUUGGUAAGGUAACGGCUUACCAAGGCAACGAUGCGUAGCCGACCUGAGAGGGUGAUCGGCCACACUGGAACUGAGACACGGUCCAGACUCCUACGGGAGGCAGCAGUAGGGAAUCUUCCGCAAUGGGCGAAAGCCUGACGGAGCAACGCCGCGUGAGUGAUGAAGGUCUUCGGAUCGUAAAACUCUGUUAUUAGGGAAGAACAAAUGUGUAAGUAACUAUGCACGUCUUGACGGUACCUAAUCAGAAAGCCACGGCUAACUACGUG